rnacentral:tRNA from 1 species
UCCUUGGUGGUCUAGUGGUUAAGACUUUGUGCUUCCACUGCAGGAGGUACAGGUUUGAUCCCUGGUCAGGGGA